rnacentral:rRNA from 1 species
AUGGCGCUGAUGGAUGCAGUGUACAGGGGCGCCACCGCCACGCAGCUGGCCACCGGCUUCUGCCUACCGCGGUACCGUGACAGGCACUGCCUUCUCGGCUUUGCCAGGGCCCUCCAAGCGCUCCAUCACGGGUUCAAAGAGUACUCCAGCCGGACCACACUUCGGCGGCUCUACAUCGACGACGAGUUCUUUGGUGGCCGCGGAAGAAUAAUUCUUGCAGAUGUGAGGGAAGAACUUGUGGAGAGGCUCACCUUGCUCUUCAAAGAAGGCCAAUACACACUUGUUGUACUCCUGGAUGAACUUGUAUCUCUAUAUAUGUUUGUAAAUGUUCCCAAUGUGGCUUUAGUGAUGUCAUCUAGGAUGCUUGUUGUAAUGGACGAUUUUUUUUAG